CAGCAGCCACGGGAACACGAAGGGUGCAAGCGUUACUCGGAAUUACUGGGCGUAAAGCGCACGCAGGCGGUUUGUUAAGUCAGAUGUGAAAUCCCCGAGCUUAACUUGGGAACUGCAUUUGAAACUGGCAAGCUAGAGUCUUGUAGAGGGGGGUAGAAUUCCAGGUGUAGCAGUGAAAUGCGUAGAGAUGUGGAGGAACACCGAUGGCGAAGGCAGCCCCCUGGGCCAAUACUGACGCUCAUGCACGAAAGCGUGGGGAGCAAACAGGAUUAGAUACCCCGGUAGUCCCUGUCUCUUAUAC
rnacentral:rRNA from 1 species